GACAGAGGGGGCAAGCGUUGCUCGGAAUCACUGGGCGUAAAGAGCGUGUAGGCGGCCACUUAAGUCCUGCGUGAAAUCUUGCGGCUCAACCGCAAGCGGUCGUGGGAAACUGGGUGGCUAGAGUGCGGGAGAGGAGAGUGGAAUUCCUGGUGUAGCGGUGGAAUGCGCAGAUAUCAGGAAGAACACCAAUUGCGAAGGCAGCUCGCUGGGACGUUACUGACGCUGAGACGCGAAAGCGUGGGGAGCAAACAGG
rnacentral:rRNA from 1 species